rnacentral:rRNA from 1 species
ACUCAAAUGAAUUGACGGGGGCCCGCACAAGCGGCGGAGCGUGCUCUUUAAUUCGUCGCAACGCGAAGAACCUUACCAGGGUUUGACAUGGAUCUGCAGAGCCGUGAAAGCGGUUGGCCUUCGAGGGUGAUCCACAGGUGCUGCAUGGCUGUCGUCAGCUCGUGUCGUGAGAUGUUGGGUUAAGUCCCGCAACGAGCGCAACCCUUGUGUCCAGUUGCGAUUUUCUGGACAGACUGCCGGGAGCAAACCGGAGGAAGGUGGGGAUGACGUCAAGUCAGCAUGGCCCUUACACCCUGGGCGAGAAGCACGCUACAAUGGCCGGGACAGAGGGUUGCCAAGCGGUAACGUGGAGCUAAUCCCCCAAACCCGGUCUCAGUUCGGAUCGAGGGCUGCAACUCGCCCUCGUGAAGCUGGAGUCGCUAGUAACCGCAGGUCAGCACUACUGCGGUGAAUAUGUUCCCGGGCCUUGUACACACCGCCCGU